AUCCCUAGAAAAAGUGUUUUACCAGGGCAACCCACAAAUAUAGCUGCAGUUUCCCAAGUGAUUCUUGUGAUGACAAAAGCUGACAAACUUACUUUCACAGUCAUGGAAAUCACUUCCAGGAAACUACAGCUGAAUUUGUAGGAUGUCCCAGACAACACUCUAUCCUAUUAAGAGUUUGGGGUCAUUGCAUGGAGAAUUUUUUAGAUUUAAAAAAAAUGGCUUUUUAGAAUAUUCUGAAGCCAAAAGCAGUAAGAACUGUGAGACAAGCAUACUGUUUAGGGCCUUUCUCUAGGCCUAUCUUCAAAUGAGUUGGGGGGGGGGAAUUCUCCUUUGAGCCUUAGAAAAGGUGUUGGGCCAGGCAAAUAGGUAUCCUCCCAUUUUGGAGAAUCUCCAUUUUAACUCCAACAGGCUCCAUGCAAAUGGCAUGCCUCCUGUUCACAUUCCUUGGAAUAUUCCAGUUUCCCUUUUAUCCUCAGUGGUGCACUUUCUUUUUAACUCUGUUCCUCCCUUUCUUCAUUCCCAACUUUUAUGCUCUUCCCAACUCUUCACCUUUGUCCUUCUAGCCAGGCCAAACCUCUUACCAGCUAGUUUUCACAAAAUUAAAAUGUGACUGAAAGCAGAUAGCUAUGGUUUCACUUUAGCAAAGGCAAAUUGUCAGUCAAGAGCUGGAGGAUGGCCCUGUGUGUAAAAAUGUCAAAAUCUUAAUGAUUCUCAAACCUCUGUUUAGUGGGAUUCUGGCUACAAUGCUACUUGGAAGUAGGGUCCAUUGAACUCAAUGGAAUAUGCUUCCAUUCAAAUCACUUCAGGAUUGACAGAUUCGUCAAUCUGUUUGAAGGCUGUUUGAAACUUUACCCUGUUACUGCAGGUACAAUCCUUGACCCACCUACCGAAGAGUAUUUCUAGAGUAAUUGCAUUGACUGAACUGAAGCUUGUUUUGCUAGUCCAGUGUAAGUGGAUUGAGGAUUGUGAUCUAAAAUAAGCCCCGCCCUUGCAAUGAAACAAAGAUGGGUGGAAGGACGGCAUGCACAUAGCCUUGGCCUUUGUUUCAAAUUCUGUGUCCAUCUCUGUUGCUGUUCUGGUCUGUUUGCCUCUUUGUUGCUCUCUGUCUGAUCUUCUAAACUUUCCAGUCAUUUGCUGUUCUGCUGAUAUUGGAAACAAAUCUUUGUUUUGUGCAUACAUACAAUCAUUUUAGGACUGCAAUGUUCCACAAGCAACAACUUGGAACAUGGAAAUGUUUUAAAAGGUUUUUUUCCACUCUUCCAAGAUUAGUAUGUGGACAGUGAAGUCCUCCAAUAUACAGCUAGCAAAGGGCAGGAAAAAUGUAACCAGCUUUUUUAUUUCUUUAUAACUUUUUUUUUUACAUCCUACAUUAUCCCACUCUUAAGUGUCACCAUUGUAAUGGUUGUUAUAUAUUUCUGAUAUUUACCAAUAUUUGUGUUGGUGUAUGCAUGUUCAGUUUUUAUACUGAGAACUGUUUAUUGGGGAAAUUGUUCAGUGUUGCUGUUUUUUCAAAACAACUGGAGCUAUGUGCAUUUUGUAUACACACUGUUCAAGCAAAAAUAUUUAUAUUAAGUGCAAAAUUCAACAUGCUGAGAAUCUUGCUUUUAAUUUUUUCAAGUCAACUUUCUAACCUUUUAGGGCUUGCAAAUGUGUGAGCCUUACCUAGCAACAUACCUGGGAGAUCUGAGCGAGACUUCCAGUGAUCCAUGAGUGGGGCAGUCAGUACCCUCUAUAGCUGUUUGCCUCACUCCAUGGCCAUUCAAUUAUACAAAAUAAGCAAAAGAUGAAAAUUUGCUUCUUUCAUAACUUAUACAGAUUGCAGAAUUCACAUUUUUAUUUUAGACAAAAAAAAUAUUUUUAGUAAAAGUGACUCUGAAAGAUAAAUAACUGAAGUGAAGUUUCCCCCACUAACUAUGAAAUGAUUUGGUUUGACACACUAAGGAUCUAGCAUCUGAUCAAAUCAUUUUGUAAUUCAGAAUGAGGGACUUGCCACGUUAGACUCUUUAAGUCACUAUUAUCUAAUUAACAAACAUUAGGUCUGGUUUUCAUACGGUGAAGCCAUGAGGUGGCUCUUUCCUGUCAUGGUGGACCUUUCUUCUAAUCUUCUUCCAGCAUUUUAAAAUCUGAUAAUAAUAAUUAUUAUUGUUAUUAUUUCAUUAAUCAUGUAUGUAUAUCUACUGUACUGCAUUAGCACCAUUUCCUCAAGACCUGGAAUUGCAGACUUUAUAGUAGGAGGGCACUUUAGAAAAAGAAAGCUUUGGCUUAGGAAAGAAAAGAGUUAUGCUGAGGUGGCUUUAAACUGUAAUAUAUAUAUUUAUAAGAAUGUGAGAUUUGGUUCUUAGCAUCUCCACCUAGCUAGUAAACCAAACCAGCCCUAUUUUUAAAUCUUUGACAGUUCUAGUUAAUGACAAUUCUAAAUCUAAAUGCACUUAAAUAAAAGAGUGUGUAUGCAAAUAAGGACUGGUAUGUGGUUUGGGAGUUCACAUUUCCUCUGUGGAGGAAAUCUUAUUUAUUCUAAACUGUUGGUGAUAAUAAUAAUAAUAAUUAGGCACUUAUCUGAACAGAAAGUGAAAUUUCUUGAGCAGAUUCCAAAGUUGUGAUUAGAGGGUAACUUUAGAUACAGUAAUUCUUUGGUACAGAUCACUGUAUCUAACAUUUUACUUUCAAGAAUCUUAAGAAACAGACAUGACUCUUGAAGAGUGCACCCAUAUUUUCUUUAAAAAUAAUAUAAAUUGCAGCUUAAAGUAUUCUAGUAUUUAGGCAUUAAACAUGUAAAUAAUAUGUUUCAAGAACAUGAUUGCAGGCUUUUUCAGUUUUUGUUUUGUAUAGUAGCAAGAAGAGGAGAAUUAUUAGACAGUAUCAUGUCUACAGCAUUUUCAUGUGGAGUCAUUCAAAGGGGGGGUUGUAAUAACUAUUUUAAUUCACAUUUGUUAAAAUUAACAAUUACCUCAUUCCAGGAAAGUAUUCUAUAAGCAAAUUAAAUAUUUUUUUGAUUUUUUUUAAAGGAUGUAAAGUAAAUCAUAUUUGCUUCCCUGCAGACACAUUAUGGUUGCUAAAUAAUAGUUAGCACUAUGCAACAGCAAACCCAGUGUCCUUAUCAAAUGUGUGUAUAUAAAGAAAUUUUUAUUUUAUAGAAAUUGCUUGCCUAUGUUAUUACCACCAAGCAUAUUCAAUAUAUUUCAGUUUCAGCAAGCAGCCUGAGAAAUACUUAGAUUUUGAACCUGUCCAUUGCUACAAGUGUUGAUAUUCUUGAAAACACAAGUAAAAUCAGACGUCUAAGAGACUUUUCCUUUGUUACAUACAGCUAAAGUUAGGCCAUAGUAUGCAAUUAGAUUACUCUAGAGUAGAUGUUACCAGUUUCAAUUUAUUAUUUAUUAAAUUUAUACCCCACUCUUCCUCCCAAAAGAGCCCAAGGCGGGGGGGGGGGGAGUGGUAAAACAAGAGACAUUAAAAGCAAUUCCAGUGCAGAUGCAGACUGGGAAAUAUAUCAACUUAAAAGCCUUGUUGAGAGAGGAGGGUCUUCAGUUGACACCAAAAAGACAACAGAUGGUACUUGUCUAAUAUUUAAAUAAUGGGAAUGCCAAAUGGUGCCACAACACUAAAGGCCCAACUACUAUAAUGUAUGGCACAGAAUCCCUGAUAAGAUGAUGCCUGCAGGAGGAUCUCAUCUGCAAAGUACAAUGAUCAAUUGGCUAUAUAAGGGAUAUGACAAUCUUUCAAGUAACCUGGUCCAAAGGGCAGCUCCAUAUAGAGGACAUUGUAAUAAUCCAGACUGGAGGUUACCAGUGCAUAGAUGACAAUGCUCAGCGUAACAGCAAAUAAUAUUUUCUUUAAAAUUAACAAAAGCUAUUGCAUGGUUUACAUUGAACAUUUCAACUAUAAAUUGACUUAGAUUCAGAGGCCCAACUGUAGUUUUCACAUGACAUAUUUUUGUAUUUAGGACCUUGUUUAAGAAAAGAACUGUAAUAGCUUUAUAUAUCCACAUUAUCUAGAGAAGAAUGUUUCCACUAGGCACAAGUCUAUUAAGCUGUUAUACCAGUUUAAUAACAUCAUAACCAUGCCAUUCAAGCUUUAGAUAUGUAUACAUGAGAAAGUCACAAAUAUGCUGAUAUAUGGGUUUUUCACAUAAUAUGUGCAAAUGCAUAUACCUUGUGAAUAAUGGAAUGACUUGUAGAAGGAAACAUAUUACUUAAAAAUUGGCAUAAUCUAGAAAAGCCCGCAAAUAGAAUGGGUAGCAAGAAUGCAGCUUCUACUCAUUCAGUGGGAUUUGCAGAGAAGAUAUUAGCACUGAGUUGUGCACUCAUUGUUUGCACAAUUUAAUCAAGAUGUGGGUUUUUUUUCACUUUACCUGAAAUUUAUAUCAAGAAAACAAUUUUGCUGCAAUACUGAAAAAAGAUUAAUUUUUAGUAAUAUAAAUGAAUUAAAAUUUGGUAAUAUUAAUACAUGCUUACAUCCUAUUUUGUUUUGUUUUUUAAGAUUUGUAACCAAUGAAAACAAUGGAAAAAAACUUUCUCCCCACAAAAUUUAAAUACAAAAAUAUUUAAAAUCAUUUAAAGAUAUUCCACAGGUCUGAUACUUAACCUUUUUAUGAAAUACUUCAAUAUCCAGUUUAGAAGUGAUAUACAGGAGAAAAUAAUAUUAUGUUAACUAUUGAGCAAUUUGUGGAACACUCAGCCUGGUGGAACGCUCUGUCACAAAAGACCAGGGCCCUGCGGAAUUUGACAUCUUUUCACAGGGCCUGCAGGACAGAGCUGUUCCACCAGGCCUUUGGUCUGGGUCCAGUCUGACCCCCCUUUUUCUUUUCAAGACCUCGCAUGUAAGGGGCUCCUCUAACCCUUUCUCACCAGCUUAUAUGAGACCAGCACAAAUAGCUGGGCCUGGUGAGCACUUAAUGUUCCCACCCCAUAGUUAUAGUUAUAAUUCGUGGGUUGCCAUCAGAUUUUAUUCUGAUUUUAAGCUGUAUUUCAACGGAUCGUUUGAUCUUAUGUUUUAAUGUAUUAUUUAUUUGAUGUUAGCUGCCCUGAGCCUGGUCUUGGCCGGGGAGGGCAGGAUAUAAAUAAAAUUUAUUAUUAUUAUUAGUGCUAAAAAUAUGAGAAAUUUAAAAAAACCCUCUAAGCUGUUGCUAUAACGCAUAACUCCAUUCAGUAAUUUUGAUAUGGAACAACAUUCCAGUUUCUCACAUAGUUACGGUACUAUGCUAGGAUUUAAAGUAGGCUGAUUAAGGCUGCAGUCUUAUAUCCACUUACUCUUGGUAGCAAGGAAAAACUGGUAUAAAAGGAAAAUUCCUGGAAGCCAAGAUCCAAGUUUGGGGCAAGUACUCUUUGGUGAGAGAACCCCAGCAGAUAUUUAAAAUCACUAAAUAUGCAGCAAAGUAAAGUGUGGAAAUAUAGGUUGUUAGACCUUUAAAAUAUGUCCUUGUGAGCUCCAAAACUUCCAUCUUCCCCGUCAUAUAAAAAGACCACAUGUUUAAUAAGUUUUAAAUGGUUUACUUACAAACCCUCCAAAGGUCAGAGUCAUGUGCUUUUUCAUACAUCCUUCAGAAAAAGUUGCACAAGCAGUAAAACUUGGCUUAGUUACACUGGUAUAGUUUCGAAAUUAUUGGUAUAGGAACACAAGAAUGGCUCAUGAGAGCCAUGCAGUCUAAGCUGCCGUAACCAGCUCAAAACCUCUUUACGUGUUAAGCUUCUCUGAUAGACUGAGAGAACAAAGGCUUGAUUACCUAGUCCCUCCCCAGGUGAACUAAGCAUGGCAUGACAACUUACUGUAUGGUCUUAACCCCUUCAUGCAUUAAUUAGACUUAAGCAUGUUUGUUUUAUGAGGCUGGUUAUCCCACACUUACCUGGGAGUAAGACCCACUAGACUCAUAAAGACUUCUGAGUGGAUAUGUAUAAGAUUACACUGUUAGUUAUAUCAAGAACUAUGGUUUAACCAGUUUGUGGAUCAAUAUUGCCUGACCCUAAACAGAUAGAAAAUACAUUGUCUUGAAGCAAGAAAAUGAUUUGAAGGGAAUGUGGUGGCUCCUGGUUUUGAAGGGUCCAUGGACAAUGCACACUCCCUGGGGGCACCUCCCUUAGGGAGUCUACACUGCCAUUAUCAUCAGCUCCUACAGCUCCUCUUUCUCAGCACUGCUACUACCAACUUGAAGCAGAGAGCCAAUGAAGAAACAGGUCAUGUCAUUUUCUGUUCCUCCAUUUCACCACCGCUGCUGCCUAGACUCAAGCAGGAGGCAGGGGAACAAGCAAGCAGUGGUGAAGAGGAGAAGCAAUUGUUUCUCAAUGGGGCUCCCUGCUGAGUUGCAGACCCUGGAAAACUAUGCAGCACUUAAUUUCUAUAUCCAUUAUGCUCUUGGUUGUAAAAGUAAAACAUGGCCAAUAUGACCUGAGAAAAGAGAAAGGACACAUGAAACAUAGAGACAGGGGAUUCAAUGCAAUUCUGUAUUGUUUAUGUGCAAAAAAAUAAUCCCUUCCCAUUGGGAUGCUGAAUAGUGAAGGCCAAACCAUCCAAGAGUUGAAAGAACUUUUGUCCCUAUCAUAAUAGUGGCCCCAAAUGCAAUUACCGGUAUUUAUUUAUGUCAUAAAUAAUCAUUAUUAGUAGUAUUUAUUUGUUGUGUUUUACACCAAAGUGUUUCAAAGCAACUUACAUAAUAAAAAUAGAAAUAACAAAAAACAUCAAAACCAAAUAUAAAAACAGCAACAACAACUAUAGUGUCAAGCAUGCUUUCUGGGGAGAGCAUUCUGCAAGCGGAGAGCCGCUGCUGAAAAUAAUUUCAGUUAUGCUUAGGGAACAAAAUCAUUCAACAAUUUUGGCAUUUAACACCCUUCCCCACCACCACAAGCUGCUUUUUCACCUGUGGAGAAAAGAUGAAAAACCGCUUGGGGGGUAAAUGACCUUCAGCAUAAAUGGCUGGAGGAGAAAAGGUUAAGUAGUCAUUCUCACACACAGUACUAUUCCUCUUUGCAGUAUCCUGCAGCUGCUUUUUAUUUAAAACAAAAACCAGGAGGCCAUUACAUCUGCCAUGCACUGCCAGCUUGGACCUGAAUCGUAUCCUAAUUAAAUAAGCAGUAAAAAGACACAGAAAAUGAAUUAAAAGUUAGGUGUACUACUUUUCAAAUAAAAAUUAACUGGCAGCAAAUUAUUUCUUCCUGCCUACCCACAUAUUUGAACUGAAGCAUUUUACUGUGAAACAACUCUGCUACUUGGGGGGCAACUAAUCAGCCUUUGUGUAUAGUUUCUUUUGGAUAUGUAGUUCACGUUCAGACUCAAUAAAUACUAGGAAGAAAGGUCUUGAGCAUAUUCAAUAUUUCAGCUAAUCACUGUGUAUUUUUGACUUUGGGCUUUUAUCACUAAGUGCUGUGUAUUGAAAACAGUGUACCUCAAGGUAGACUGAAUAAAAAUCUGAUUGAUACAUGGUCUAAUGCUGACCUUAUUAAAUCAAAUGAAGCAUCCUUAUGGAUAGGAAGCUGCCAUACUAAGGCAGACCAACUGUCCAUCUAGCUCAAUAUUGUUGACACUGACUGGCAAGAGCUCUUCAGGGGUUUAGGCAGGAGUCUUUCCAGACCGUACCUGGGAAUGCUUCAGUUGACAUGCAAAUAAUGUGAACUGCUAUAAAGCCUUCCCUAAAAGGACCUAUAAGUUGUAAUACACUAGGAACCUUAUCUAGCAUAUCUGAACCUUGGAAGCUGUGCUAAUGUGAAGUACAGUGGUACCUCGGGUUACAGAUGCUUCAGGUUACAGACUCAGCUAACCCAGAAAUAGUACCUCGGGUUAAGAACUUUGCUUCAGGAUAAGAACAGAAAUUGUGCAGUGGCGGUGCAGUGGCAGGCCCCAUUAGCUAAAGUGGUGCUUCAGGUUAAGAACAGUUUCAGGUUAAGAACAGACCUCCAGAACAAAUUAAGUUCUUAACCCGAGGUACAACUGUACUGAAAUAUGUCUACCAUGUAGCUAAAGACAUUAAUUGGAACCCAAUGUCCAUCCAAAUAAACAGAAGAAUCAUAGUUUGUCUCUUUUCCUAAGCAUAUAAACAUUGUCUUACCAGGUCAGCCCAGCAUACUCUAACAAUUGCCAGUCAGAUGCACCAAGAAGCUCUCAAAUAAGGCAUCAUGGAAAUAGUCAUAACCUGAUAGUCAUUCAUAGCACUGGUUAAUAAGAUCCUGAAUACAGUAAUUCAGUUUUUACCUAUCAUGGCUAAUGGCCUUCAGAAGAAACCUGGUCUAUGUUUCAGUUAUCUCCCAUGCUGAUUACUGCAGUCAUAUUUCAGCUAGUCUUUCAUUGUCUCACCUUGGUACACUUCCAUCCAUCCAGCAUGCUCUUCUCUGAAACAAGUCCACCCUUUGUCCCGUAUGCCCCUUAUGCCUGGAACUGCCUCCCAGAAUGCCUCUAUUAUUUCUCCUCCCAUAUUUCCUUCAGGUUGCUCAUCAAAUUAAUAUUUUUCUCUGGAGCAACCCCUUACUCUCUAUACACUAUUAUAAUUAAGCUGAAGUAUGUAUAAUUGAAAGAAUGGCAUAUACCUUUCCUGUUAGUUUUACUUCUGUUUCCCUCCUCUCACGCUGUUGUUUCUCUUGUAUCUGUUUUCAGAUUUUAAGCCCCUUAGGCCAAAGAUUUGUCAAAUAUAUUUUUUGUCAUAUGCCAUGCACAUAGAUAGUAUGUAUAAGCAAUUAUAAUGGCUAUGAAUUUACCAGUCCUCCAUGAAUUUAUCUAAUCCUCUUCUGAAGCUAUAUAAACUAAAGGCCAUUGUUUUAUGAUGAACAAUCAUCAUCAUUAGUUAACUAUGUGGUUUUCUCUGUUUUUAACCUAUUGCCAGAAAACUGAACUAGAUGACUCUGGAGUCUAGUAAUUUCAGAAACAAGCAUGAAUAUAUCUUCAAUCACUUGUCAUAUCUCCCCACUCCAUUCCAGCCUGCCUAGAUAUGUUUGUUGAAAUGGGGUGACCAGAGCAGUACAUUGUAUUCUUAAGUGGAAAUAUAAUAAGGUUUCUAUAAUGGCAUUGUGAUACCUGCUAUUUUAUUUCCAUCUCUUUAGUAAUAAUUCCUAAUCAUGAUUUUUCCUUAAGUGAAUUUUCUACUAUGGUCUCAAGAGAUCUUUUCACCUCAUCAAAACUCAAGGUAUGAAUGAUUUCAUUACUGCUUGUAAUAUGUGAUUCUUUCUGUUGAGUGAUAGGCCAAGCUUUUCUUAAGUGUCUGCAAAGAUAUUUAGGAUGAUCCAAAAAACCAAAGUGCUGCACCAACAAGUACAAAAUAACCCCUUUGCAGCGCCACAAAUCCAACUCAAUGGUGUAACGUUGGAAAAUGUCAAUCACUUCUCCUACCUAGGCAGUUAUCUUUCCACAAGGGCCAACAUUGAUGCUGAAAUCCAGCAUCGCCUGAGCUCUGCGGGUACGGCUUUCUCCUGAUUGAAGUGCAGAGUGUUUGAGGACCAGGACAUUCACAUGGAAACCAAAAUGCUUGUUUACAAAGCUAUUGUAC